UGAUUGUCCAUUCGCAGUUCUUG
rnacentral:miRNA from 1 species